ACAUUGUUGUAUACUACAAAUUCCCUGUUUUGCUUUUAAGUUGGAGACUACAUAAGACUUUGACAGUUGGCGGGAAACGAUCAUCAACUGGAGAGAUGCCGGUAGAGGAAUUUCUGCGACUAAGUCAAGGGCCACUGGAUAAGGGUUGUUGAUGGCAAAACAGGUUGGAGACUACAUAAGACUUUGACAGUUGGCGGGAAACGAUCAUCAACUGGAGAGAUGCCGGUAAAAAAGAUGGCCAUAAAACAGUGACCGCUGAUUCGCAUUGAGUUCUUUCUUACAUAUUGGAUGACCU